rnacentral:rRNA from 1 species
CGCGUAGGCGGCUGUGGCAGUCGGGUGUGAAAGCCCGGAGCUCAACUCCGGAACGGCACUCGAGACGCCACGGCUGGAGGCCGGAAGAGGAGGGUGGAAUACCCAGUGUAGAGGUGAAAUUCGUAGAUAUUGGGUGGAACACCGGUGGCGAAAGCGGCUCUCUGGUCCGGACCUGACGCUGAGGCGCGAAAGCGUGGGGAGCAAACAGGAUUAGAUACCCUGGUAGUCCACGCCCUAAACGAUGUGGGCUAGAUGUCGGGGGGCUUGCCCUUCGGUGUCGGAGCUAACGUGUUAAGCCCACCGCCUGGGGAGUACGGCCGCAAGGUUAAA